CAGGCUUAGACCCUUCAGUAAUACACCUCAAGUGUGUGAAAUACGGAUACAAAUAAAUGAGAUCUUGGUAGACCCCAUCUGGUAGAAUAGAGUGGAGCAGAGCACAUUAGAGAUGAAUAGAGCCGAGGAGAGGGGCGAGGUGAGCAAUAGAAGCAGAGACAUUCGAGUAUAGAGGGAAGAGGAGAGGUCAGGAGGGAGUGGAAAGAGGACAUGGGAUCGAGCGUACCGUUUCGCCCUACAGUCAAUACAUGUCCUACAUCAGUUGACGCGGUAAGAUGUGUGAUUCAAUCAUUUCCGGCUGGAUUUUUUCCAUUUGCUACUCGUUGACAAGAAACAGAUGGAGGAAGAGACGCUAACCGGAGGCUUUCUACUCCUUUAUCAGUUCUGUUUGUCUCCCCCCCAUCUGUCUCCUUCACUCUACAGCACGCUGCACAUCUGGUACCAACCCACACUGGGCCUCCUUAUGUCACAUUAAGGCAAAUCACUACAGCCUACCCACUGUUGGCAAACAUGGCCGAGAGGAAUUCCAACCAACGACUUCUAACAAGGCUUCACAAACACCUGUCUACUGCGGUACGUUAUUGAUUUUUUUAUAUUUAAAAUUCAGACAUUUGUGCACGUUCUCGGCUAAGUUUGUCUCUCCAUACCACCCCAGCUCAUUGUCCUUAUAUAUACAUAUUGACACACUCUGAGAGAUUGUUCAGGUGACCGUGACCAUUUAUAUGCAUAUUUCCAAAUACGUGGUUAUUACUUGAAUAUACUGGUGGGAUAAUGUCGAGUAGAAUGAUCCAGACAGGUCUUUUUUUCCCACCCAAUGAAAAGGGUGAGUAAGGACAGUGAAGAUGCAAAAACAUCUUUGAUUUCCAAGCAGUGACUUCAA